rnacentral:rRNA from 1 species
AUUGAACGCUGGCGGCAGGCCUAACACAUGCAAGUCGAACGAGUGGCGGACGGGUGAGUAAUGUCUGGGAAACUGCCUGAUGGAGGGGGAUAACUACUGGAAACGGUAGCUAAUACCGCAUACCAUCGGAUGUGCCCAGCUGGGAUGAGCUAGUAGGUGGGGUAAAGGCUCACCUAGGCGACGAUCCCUAGGUGGUCGGAGAGGAUGACCAGCCCAACUGGAACUGAGACACGGCCCAGAUCCCUCCGGGAGGAAGCAGUGGGGAAUAUUCGACAAUGGGCGCAGGCCUGAUGCAGCCCUGCCGCUUGUAUGAAGAAGGCCUUCGGGUUGUAAAGUACGUUCAGCGGGGAGGCGUUACCCGCAGAAGAAGCACCGGCUAACUCCGUGCCAGCCGCCGCGGUAAUUC